rnacentral:rRNA from 1 species
GACGGAGGAUGCAAGUGUUAUCCGGAAUCACUGGGCGUAAAGCGUCUGUAGGUGGUCAAAUAAGUCAACUGUUAAAUCUUGAGGCUUAACCUCAAAAUCGCAGUCGAAACUAUUAGACUAGAGUAUAGUAGGGGUAAAGGGAAUUUCCAGUGGAGCGGUGAAAUGCGUAGAGAUUGGAAAGAACACCGAUGGCGAAGGCGCUUUACUGGGCUAUUACUAACACUCAGAGGCGAAAGCUAGGGGAGCAAACGGG